AUUGAACGCUGGCGGCAGGCCUAACACAUGCAAGUCGAGCGGAUGAAGGGAGCUUGCUCCUGGAUUCAGCGGCGGACGGGUGAGUAAUGCCUAGGAAUCUGCCUGGUAGUGGGGGAUAACGUCCGGAAACGGGCGCUAAUACCGCAUACGUCCUGAGGGAGAAAGUGGGGGAUCUUCGGACCUCACGCUAUCAGAUGAGCCUAGGUCGGAUUAACUAGUUGGUGGGGUAAAGGCCUACCAAGGCGACGAUCCGUAACUGGUCUGAGAGGAUGAUCAGUCACACUGGAACUGAGACACGGUCCAGACUCCUACGGGAGGCAGCAGUGGGGAAUAUUGGACAAUGGGCGAAAGCCUGAUCCAGCCAUGCCGCGUGUGUGAAGAAGGUCUUCGGAUUGUAAAGCACUUUAAGUUGGGAGGAAGGGCAGUAAGUUAAUACCUUGCUGUUUUGACGGUACCAACAGAAUAAGCACCGGCUAACUUCGUG
rnacentral:rRNA from 1 species